AACGAACGCUGGCGGCAGGCCUAACACAUGCAAGUCGAGCGAAGCCUUCGGGCUUAGCGGCGGACGGGUGAGUAACGCGUGGGAACGUGCCCUUUGCUACGGAAUAGCCCCGGGAAACUGGGAGUAAUACCGUAUGUGCCCUUCGGGGGAAAGAUUUAUCGGCAAAGGAUCGGCCCGCGUUGGAUUAGGUAGUUGGUGGGGUAAUGGCCUACCAAGCCGACGAUCCAUAGCUGGUUUGAGAGGAUGAUCAGCCACGCUGGGACUGAGACACGGCCCAGACUCCUACGGGAGGCUGUAGUGGGGAAUCUUAGACAAUGGGCGGAAGCCUGAUCUAGCCAUGCCGCGUGAUCGAUGAAGGCCUUAGGGUUGUAAAGAUCUUUCAGGUGGGAAGAUAAUGACUGUACCACCAGAAGAAGCCCCGGCUAACUCCGUGCCAGCCGCCGCGGUAAUAC
rnacentral:rRNA from 1 species